GUAGGUGGCAAGCGUUGUCCGGAAUUAUUGGGCGUAAAGCGCGCGCAGGCGGUUCUUUAAGUCUGAUGUGAAAGCCCACGGCUCAACCGUGGAGGGUCAUUGGAAACUGGAGAACUUGAGUACAGAAGAGGAAAGCGGAAUUCCACGUGUAGCGGUGAAAUGCGUAGAGAUGUGGAGGAACACCAGUGGCGAAGGCGGCUUUCUGGUCUGUAACUGACGCUGAGGCGCGAAAGCGUGGGGAGCAAACAGGAUUAGAUACCCUGGUAGUCCACGCUGUAAACGAUGAGUGCUAAGUGUUAGGGGGUUUCCGCCCCUUAGUGCUGCAGCUAACGCAUUAAGCACUCCGCCUGGGAGUACGGCCGCAAGGCUG
rnacentral:rRNA from 1 species